UCCUGUGGCGAGUGGCGAACGGGUGAGUAAUAUAUCGGAACGUGCCCGGUCGUGGGGGAUAACGUAGCGAAAGCUACGCUAAUACCGCAUACGAUCUACGGAUGAAANCGGGGGAUCGCAAGACCUCGCGCGAUUGGAGCGGCCGAUAUCAGAUUAGGUAGUUGGUGAGGUAAAGGCUCACCAAGCCGACGAUCUGUAGCUGGUCUGAGAGGACGACCAGCCACACUGGGACUGAGACACGGCCCAGACUCCUACGGGAGGCAGCAGUGGGGAAUUUUGGACAAUGGGCGCAAGCCUGAUCCAGCAAUGCCGCGUGCAGGAUGAAGGCCUUCGGGUUGUAAACUGCUUUUGUACGGAACGAAACGGUGAGCUCUAAUACAGUUUGCUAAUGACGGUACCGUAAGAAUAAGCACCGGCUAACUACGUG
rnacentral:rRNA from 1 species